rnacentral:rRNA from 1 species
AAACCAACAGGGAUUCCCUUAGUAACGGCGAGUGAACCGGGAAAAGCUCAAAUUUGAAAUCUGCCAACAGGCCGAGUUGUAAUUUGUAGAUGGCUACACUGCAUAAUAGUAGAUGCUCAAGUUCUUUGGAAAAAGACAUCAUGGAGGGUGACAAUCCCGUGAGGCAUGUUACUAGGAGCAUAUAGUGGGCUUUCUAAGAGUCGAGUUGUUUGGGAAUGCAGCUCAAAGUGCGUGGUGAAUACCAUGUAAAGCUAAAUAUGGACGAGAGACCGAUAGCGAACAAGUACUGUGAAGGAAAGAUGAAAAGCACUCCGAAAGGAGAGUGAAAUAGUACGUGAAAUUGUUAAAGUGGAAGGGCUUGAGAUCAGAAUUGGUAGUUUGGGUUCCACGUCCUCUUGGGGGCGUGUACUCCCUUUCCACCGGGCCAGCGGGAGUUUCGUCUCUUGGGUAAAAGCAGUGGAAUGUAGCAGCUUGUCUGUAUUAUAGCCUCUGUUCAUACAAGACGUCGAGACUUGAUUUGUUGGCGUAAUGAUCUCUAGNCAC